UAAAUGAAAGACAUGUUCAUGCAGGAUUAUUUCAGAUGACAUACACAAGGUCAUGGCAUCUGAUAUGGUUGUACCUGCUGGAAGUUAUAAAAGGAAUUAUUGGAUUAUGCAGGAUUUUUCCAGGAUGUCAGACCCGAUGUCACGACAUCCUGUACACAGAACAUUCAGUGUGAAUGUCUGGUGUUUUGUGAUUGCACAAUUAAUGGCAAUCUUUGUAUGAUUGAAGAUCUGAU
rnacentral:lncRNA from 1 species